GUCAGCUACAAAGGGCCCACGGCGAUACUGCACCAAGGCAUGAAGGACGUGGUUACCUGCAUAGUCUCGGGACUGGAGCACGCCUGGAUCC
rnacentral:rRNA from 1 species